rnacentral:rRNA from 1 species
AACUAUAACGGUCCUAAGGUAGCGAAAUUCCUUGUCGGGUAAGUUCCGACCUGCACGAAUGGCGUAACGACUUCCCCGCUGUCUCAACCAUAGACCCGGCGAAAUUGAAAUACGAGUAAAGAUGCUCGUUUGCUGCGGAAGGACGGAAAGACCCCGUGCACCUUUACUAUAACUUGGUGUUGAGCUUCGACCUUAACUGUGUAGCUUAGGUGGGAGACUGUGAAGCGCGAGCGCUAGUUCGCGUGGAGUCAUUAGUGAAAUACCACCCUGUUCAGUUUGGAGCUCUAACCUCGAUCCAUAAUCUGGAUCAGGAACAGUGCCAGGCGGGUAGUUUGACUGGGGCGGUCGCCUCCUAAAUUGUAACGGAGGCGCUCAAAGGUUCCCUCAGACUGGUUGGUAAUCAGUCGGCGAGUGUAAUGACACAAGGGAGCUUGACUGCGAGACUGACAGGUCAAGCAGGUACGAAAGUAGGACAUAGUGACCCGGCCAUUGCUUGUGGAAGCGUGGUCGCUCAACGGAUAAAAGGUACGCCGGGGAUAACAGGCUAAUCUUUCCCAAGAGUCCAUAUCGACGGAAAGGUUUGGCACCUCGAUGUCGGCUCAUCGCAUCCUGGGGCUGAAGCAGGUCCCAAGGGUUGGGCUGUUCGCCCAUUAAAGCGGUACGCGAGCUGGGUUCAGAACGUCGUGAGACAGUUCGGUCCCUAUCCUCCGCAGCCGAAAGUGAAUUGAGGAAAUCUGUCCCUAGUACGAGAGGACCGGGACGGACGUAGCUCUGGUGUGUCAGUUGUCUUGCCAAAGGCACGGCUGAUUAUCUACCUACGGAAUGGAUAACCGCUGAAAGCAUCUAAGCGGGAAGCCAGUUCCAAGAUGAGUUCACUCAUGCAGUCAAUGCAGUAAGGCCCGUGACUAGACCAUCACGUUGAUAGGCCGGAGGUGUACAUGCGGUAACGCAUUUAGCCGACCGGUACUAAUCGGCCGAGGGCUUGGAUUU